GACGAACCGAGCGAACGUUGUUCGGAAUAACUGGGCUUAAAGGGCGCGUAGGCGGGCCGCCAAGUUCGAGGUGAAAUCCUCCGGCUCAACCGGAGAACUGCCUCGAAUACUGGAGGUCUCGAGGGUGGUAGGGGCACGCGGAACUGUGGGUGGAGCGGUGAAAUGCGUUGAUAUCCACAGGAAUUCCGGUGGCGAAGGCGGCGUGCUGGACCACAUCUGACGCUGAGGCGCGAAAGCCAGGGGAGCAAACGGG
rnacentral:rRNA from 1 species